UACGUAGGGGGCAAGCGUUGUCCGGAAUCAUUGGGCGUAAAGAGCGCGUAGGCGGCCCGAUAAGUCCGCUGUGAAAGUCAAGGGCUCAACCCUUGAAUGCCGGUGGAUACUGUCGGGCUAGAGUCCGGAAGAGGCGAGUGGAAUUCCUGGUGUAGCGGUGAAAUGCGCAGAUAUCAGGAGGAACACCAAUUGCGAAGGCAGCUCGCUGGGACGUUACUGACGCUGAGACGCGAAAGCGUGGGGAGCAAACAGG
rnacentral:rRNA from 1 species